GACGAACGCUGGCGGCGUGCUUAACACAUGCCAGUCGAACGGAAAGGCCCUGCUUUUGUGGGGUGCUCGAGUGGCGAACGGGUGAGUAACACGUGAGUAACCUGCCCUUGACUUUGGGAUAACUUCAGGAAACUGGGGUUAAUACCGGAUAGGAGCUCCUGCUGCAUGGUGGGGGUUGGAAAGUUUCGGCGGUUGGGGAUGGACUGGCGGCUUAUCAGCUUGUUGGUGGGGUAGUGGCUUACCAAGGCUUUGACGGGUAGCCGGCCUGAGAGGGUGACCGGCCACAUUGGGACUGAGAUACGGCCCAGACUCCUACGGGAGGCAGCAGUGGGGAAUAUUGCACAAUGGGCGGAAGCCUGAUGCAGCAACGCCGCGUGCGGGAUGACGGCCUUCGGGUUGUAAACCGCUUUCGCCUGUGACGAAGCGUGAGUGACGGUAAUGGGUAAAGAAGCACCGGCUAACUACGUG
rnacentral:rRNA from 1 species